AUGUGUGUUAUAUUGUUUUGUACUUUAUUCCUGAAUAAAUAUUACGAUUUAUUUUGUCUCAUUUAAAAAACUUUACUUAAGAUAGCAAUGCCAAGUGAGCCACCAAAAAAGGCAUUUCAUUUAUUAGAAUGUUCAACUGUUUUCAUAAAGUCUAUUUUUCCUAAUGUAACCCACAUAAAUUGCACUGGGUUAUUGAAUGUAGUUGUAGUGUUGCCCCCUGUCCAUUAGGGGUCGCUGUGCUGCAUGUGAACAAGUGCAUUGCACAUGGAAGAAGAGUCCACAGCUGCGUUUCUUUUUUCCUGAAGCUCAUAGAGAUAUUGUGAGUGAAAGAAAUAUUAAAAUUUUUCAACCUUCCGACACUUCACCGUUAUUUUUUAACUAAAUCUUUGUUUAACUUUUUCAAGAAGACGUUUCUGGUUGGAUUAUUAUUCCUGAAGAUCGUUUGUGUCUUAAAUCAUCGAAUCUCCGAUUGUUUUUUUUGUUAUUGUGCAUCUUCUGCUACGAUUGAGAGAGAGAGAUACAGCGAGCCAUCCCAAGGACUGUGACCAUUGUGUGUGUCCGCCUACCUGUGGCCUGGACGCAAUCUGAUCUGGAUUACAGAUAAGACUGAGAUACACAUCACUAAUUUCCUACCCGGGUAGUGAUUAGUAAGGACUUGUUUCAUUUUUUUUCUUCCUUUUUUUACAAAAGUACGUACGAAGAUGUUUUUGCAUUUUUCUACCUUUUUUCCUUUUUUCGAGGAAUUAAAGGAUACAUGGACAUUGAUACAGAAACAUUGAACUUUGGGUUUGAAAUAUUGAACUUUGGGAUUGAAACAUUGAACUCUGGGAUCGAAAUAUGGAACUUUGGGGUUAAACUUUAUGAUAUUGAACAUAUUGUUACUGACUGACUUUACGCGACUGACUUUAAGGGGUUAAACAUUUUUGUAUUGUGGUUCAAUAUCUUUUCUUGUGUGUCAUAAUAAAUGUUAUUG